rnacentral:lncRNA from 1 species
CCGGGCUCCGCUGGAAGGCUGAGCUGAGCGAUGUCUCUCACUAACCACAUCCAGAUGUGCCUGCUUGGCAGCUCGCUGCACAGACGGCACCGAGGGGACGCAGGAUCAGCGCUAUCAAAUGGGCUUUGAAGAACUGAUCAAAUAAGACAGAAGAUCUCCGGGAAAAGUAUGGGCAGUGGUGCCAGGCAGCUCAAACACAGCUUUUAGCAGUC